rnacentral:rRNA from 1 species
CCUACGGGUGGCAGCAGUGAGGAAUAUUGGUCAAUGGACGCGAGCCUGAACCAGCCAAGUAGCGUGAAGGAUGACUGUCCUAUGGAUUGUAAACUUCUUUUAUAUGGGAAUAAAACAGGCUACGCGUACCCUUCCGUGUGUACCCUAUGAAAAAGCAUCGGCUAACUCCGUGCCAGCAGCCGCGGUAAUACGGAGGAUCCGAGCGUUAUCCGGAUUUAUUGGGGUUAAAGGGGGCGCAGGCGGAAUGUUAAGUCAACUGGUAAAUUUUGCGGCUCAACCGUAUCAGAGCAGUUGAAACUGGCAUUCUUGAGUGAGGUAGAAGUAGGCGGAAUGCGUGGUGUAGCGGUGAAAUGCAUAGAUAUCACGAAGAACUCCGAUUGCGAAGGCAGCACACCGGAGUGCAACUGACGCUGAUGCACGAAAGUGUGGGUAUCGAACAGGAUUAGAUACCCCUGUAGUC